GACGUAGGGCGCGAGCGUUGUCCGGAUUUAUUGGGCGUAAAGAGCUCGUAGGCGGCUUGUCGCGUCGAAUGUGAAAACUCGGGGCUCAACUCCGAGCUUGCAUUCGAUACGGGCAGGCUAGAGUUCGGUAGGGGAGACUGGAAUUCCUGGUGUAGCGGUGAAAUGCGCAGAUAUCAGGAGGAACACCGGUGGCGAAGGCGGUUCUCUGGGCAUUACCUGACGCUGAGGAGCGAAAGUGUGGGGAGCGAACAGG
rnacentral:rRNA from 1 species